rnacentral:rRNA from 1 species
AUUGAACGCUGGCGGCAUGCUUUACACAUGCAAGUCGAACGGUAACAGGGUGCUUGCACCGCUGACGAGUGGCGAACGGGUGAGUAAUGCGUCGGAACGUGCCGAGUAGUGGGGGAUAACGCAUCGAAAGGUGGUCUAAUACCGCAUACGUACUGAGGUAGAAAGUGGGGGACCUUCGGGCCUCACGCUAUUCGAGCGGCCGCCGUCUGAUUAGCUAGUUGGGGAGGUAAAGGUUCACCAAGGCGACGAUCAGUAGCGGGUCUGGGAGGAUGAUCCGCCACACUGGGACUGAGACACGGCCCAGACUCCUACGGGAGGCAGCAGUGGGGAAUUUUGGACAAUGGGCGCAAGCCUGAUCCAGCCAUGCCGCGUGUCUGAAGAAGGCCUUCGGGUUGUAAAGGACUUUUGUCCGGGAGCAAAUACCCAGUGCUAAUAACGCUGGGGGCUGAGAGUACCGGAAGAAUAAGCACCGGCUAACUACGUGCCAGCAGCCGCCGUAACAC